UUUCUGUGAGCAUGUACCGUGCAAAGCUCCUAAUAAUUGUAGCGUUCUUUGUAGGUGCAGUUGAAUCUGGACCUGCCUUUGAAGACCUUAUUGAUCUCAUCAAUACCACAUCGACCAUGUAUGUGUACGCAAGCACUUAUGCGACAUAUAUGUACGACAACCCUGUGACGUGUAUGUUUUACAGGAAGAAAGAUCUCAGUGAUACGGACUUCGAAUUUCGGCUUCGUUACAAAGCUGGCUGGCGAAGAACAAUCGGGGCCUGCCAGAAAGACCUUGCUCGCCUACAUCCGUGAACAGCACUGCGGUGUGUUUACCUUGCCGCGAAAAGGAAAAAAAUCACUGCGAGCUGCACCUAUGGGAAGAUGCCAUUAUUAAAGAGGACCGAUAUCAUCACGUCGACUUUACUUGCCUGAAGCACUUCCAGGCACGGUGCGGGUAUCACUGGCCAACGGUGAUCACUUACACCCUCACUUGCAGCGACUGAGAAAAACUGACGUCCUAAACUGAUCGAUGGUUGCUUGUAGAUGAGUUGAGGACAUUCGACAUCUUAUAUGCAUCUUCUUCUUUCGAGCCUGCAAGUUACGUGUUUUUAACCGUAUAUGCAAAACGCUC